UUAACUCAAAUUUGUAUGCAGUUGGAACAGCGCCCCUAGCGGCAAACGUUGGCAAACGAUCCAGCUCCAUACAAAUUUGAGUUA
rnacentral:pre_miRNA from 1 species